CGCCCUGUUGGUGCAACCGGGCCCAGGUGUAUACCAAGUGGUUUAAAUUCCUCUGCCCUACUUACUUCAACAUUACCAAUGUAUUGAAAAUCAGGAAACGCAGCAAGAUUUUGAUAAUCAAACACGUUCAUCUGACGAGACACAGGAAUCACGUUACAUGAAACCAUAUCAUAAUCAUGAAAACAUGGGUUUUGGUCUUGAUAUUGAGGACGACGUGGACCCACAGUACGCGGCACUUGAAGUUAGGACUGAUUACACCGUCCCUACAAUAGACUACUCAACCAUAGGACCGACUGAGUACACUCGCCCUUACGUUCCUCAACACAUGAGAAGGAAUGCAAGGUUUACGUAAACUUAACUAAACCGCUGCACAAAAUUGAACGCAAUGUAGCCUCUUCAAGUUGUGCUUUUAAUGGUAUCUAUCAUUAAAUGAAUAGACUGGUGUAUAAGGAAUAUAAACAUCAUGUUCAAGAGAUCAUUCAAAUUUAUGUGGUACAUAUACUAUUGUAUCGUUAUUCAGAAAUGGCAAACGGUACAUCAUAGGUCAGAACUGAGAAAAUGAACAGUGAUUAAAACAAUCACAACGUAAUUGUGACUAUAACAGUGAGAGUUGGUGACCGUUAACUGAAAAUUGGGAACAAAGCGUUAUUAUAAACAUGAAAGGUAAAGUAAAUUGAUAAUUGCAAUAGAGUAAUAAUUUGCGGUGGUGUACUCGGGACUAUCUAACCAGUUACUAUUGUAUGCAAUUAAAAGUUCUACUAACACAUAUUUC